GCCGAAGUGGCGGAAUGGUAGACGCGGCGGUCUCAAAAACCGUUGGGAGUUAAAUCCCGUGUGGGUUCGAGUCCCUCCUUCGGCACCA
rnacentral:tRNA from 3 species